GACGAACGCUGGCGGCGUGGAUUAGGCAUGCAAGUCGAACGGUAUCAUCCUUUCGGGGGUGAGAGAGUGGCGAACUGGUGAGUAACACGUAGGUUAUCUACCCUCAAGACGGGGACAACCCAGGGAAACUUGGGCUAAUACCGGAUGUGAGCAACUUUUAGUUGUUUGAAAGGUGGCGUAAGCUGUCGCUUGGGGAUGAGCCUGCGUCCUAUUAGUUAGUUGGUGAGGUAACGGCUCACCUAGGCAAUGAUAGGUAGGCGGCCUUAACGGGUGGUCGCCCACACUGGGAUUGAGAUACGGCCCAGACUCCUACGGGAGGCAGCAGUCGAGAAUAGUCUACAAUGGUCGGAAGACUGAUAGUGCGACGCCGCGUGAACGAUGAAUCCCUUCGGGGUGUAAAGUUCUUUUAUAUGUGAGCAGUGCUUUCUUAUAUUAACAGUAUGGGGAAGAGAUAUUAGCAUAUGAAUAAGCAACGGCUAGCUCCGUGCCAGCAGCCGCGGUAAAA
rnacentral:rRNA from 1 species